UUGACUUUUGUUGAUCGUCAUUGCAUAAGAUACAAACAGGGGGAAUUGUCGUCGUUCAAACUUAAAUGACAAUCUUGGAUCAGCAGGAGUCAAUGACAUUCUUGGAAUCAAAAUUUAAUCUGCGUAUCCUCACUCUUUUUCUAAUUAAGCCACGUUCAACCACAUAAAUUCAUUGUUCAUCAAGUUCAUUCUAUCUCAUUUCUUCUGAAACCGUAAAUCUUACUCCUCAUUUGAAAAAACUUCCCAUUCUGUUCUUUGCCCAACAAUCAUUCAGAUCUUUUCACUACAGAGCUUCAACUGUAAAAUUUAUUAGUCUGUAAAUUUUCAUAACUUUAUUCGACACAUCAGAAUACCUUCAACUAUCUUCUUAUUUAUUUACUUUCUGCAAAUACAGAAACACCUAACCUCUCACAUGAUUUUCAUUCUUAAAUUCAGAUGCCCAAACACACAUCUUCGGUUAAAGAAAACACACACACGCUUAUACAUAAUCUGAUGCCCUCAACGAUUCAUCUCCUCUAAACUCAUCGAAAAUUGAAAAGAAAUUAGAACCAAUAGAAGUAGAAUAAAAUUCUGUCAGUUACACAAUUGGAAUAAAAUUGGACACUUUGAGAUUGAGAUAGGAGGCGGCAGAUGGCCAAAGGUGGAGGUGGUCACCGGAUUUAGGAUUGAGGCCGAGCAGGAGCACGUUGGUGUAGGAGGGGGCGGCGACGGCCACCGUCGCUGCAUGUGCAGCGGCGGCUGUGGCUGUGCAGCGGCGACGAGAGAGAGUACCGGGGGGAGAUAUAUGGCUUUUGGGUGAAGAGGUGGAAGGCGGUGGAGAUGUGGGCUGUGGUGGUGGUGACCGCGGCAGUGGCGGUCGGCGAAGUCGCCGGAGUCUGGGCGGCGGCGUAGGUUGUUCGUGUGUGGGCGUGUUCUGUGAGAAGAGAGUAAGAGAGGGAAGGAGAAAGUUUAAGAGGGGGCGAGAGGCGGCGGCGGCGGCAGUUUCCAGAGGGAGGGUGCUUGAGUUUGAGAGAUGUGAUCAGAGAGAUUU
rnacentral:lncRNA from 1 species